rnacentral:rRNA from 1 species
GGAUGCGAUCAUACCAGCACUAAUGCACCGGAUCCCAUCAGAACUCCGAAGUUAAGCGUGCUUGGGCGAGAGUAGUACUAGGAUGGGUGACCUCCUGGGAAGUCCUCGUGUUGCAUUCCC